UUUGAAAAACUUAUUUCGUGAGAAACAUUGGUACAAACUAUCGGAGUAGAAAUUUAUUAUAAUUGAUUGAUUUAAAUAAUGAUGGUAGGGAUUGAAAUACCGAAAUGUAAAAGCAUUGAUUGACGAAUUUGAGUUGAAUGAUAGAAAUAUUGGGAAACGAUCAGUUAUAUCUGUUUUCAACAUACCUUUUUGUAUAUUGUUAUUGAAGAUAUCAGUUGUAAUAGUGUUAUCAAUGAAAGUUGCUGAGUUUGCUGAUACUUUAGUUGGACGAUUAAUUAGGGGAAUUGCUCCUAUUUCAAAUAUUGAAUCAUAAAUUUUUUUUAUUUUACAGUCA